UAGAGUUUGAUCCUGGCUCAGAUUGAACGCUGGCGGCAGGCCUAACACAUGCAAGUCGAGCGGAUGAGUGGAGCUUGCUCCAUG
rnacentral:rRNA from 1 species